GCCAGGUGCGGUGGCGCACGCCUGUCAUCCCAGCAGCUCUGGAGGCCGAGGCAGGAGGAUCGCGAGUUCAAAGCCAGCCUCAGCCAAAGCGAGGCUCUAAGCCACUCAGUGAGACCCUGUCUCUA
rnacentral:sRNA from 1 species